rnacentral:rRNA from 1 species
UACAGAGGUCCCAAGCGUUGUUCGGAUUCAUUGGGCGUAAAGGGUGCGUAGGCGGCGCGGUAAGUCGGGUGUGAAAUCUCGGGGCUUAACUCCGAAACUGCAUUCGAUACUGCCGUGCUUGAGGACUGGAGAGGAGACUGGAAUUUACGGUGUAGCGGUGAAAUGCGUAGAUAUCGUAAGGAAGACCAGUGGCGAAGGCGGGUCUCUGGACAGUUCCUGACACUGAGACACGAAGGCCAGGGGAGCGAACAGG